GAGUUUGAUCCUGGCUCAGAUUGAACGCUGGCGGCAUGCCUUACACAUGCAAGUCGAACGGCAGCACGGGAGCUUGCUCCUGGUGGCGAGUGGCGAACGGGUGAGUAAUGCAUCGGAACGUAUCCUGGAGUGGGGGAUAACGUAGCGAAAGUUACGCUAAUACCGCAUAUUCUGUGAGCAGGAAAGCGGGGGACCUUCGGGCCUCGCGCUCUUGGAGCGGCCGAUGUCGGAUUAGCUAGUUGGUGAGGUAAAGGCUCACCAAGGCGACGAUCCGUAGCAGGUCUGAGAGGAUGAUCUGCCACACUGGAACUGAGACACGGUCCAGACUCCUACGGGAGGCAGCAGUGGGAAUUUUGGACAAUGGGGGCAACCCUGAUCCAGCCAUGCCGCGUGAGUGAAGAAGGCCUUCGGUU
rnacentral:rRNA from 1 species